UGCCGGGAUCGAUUGAAACUUGAUAAAAAAAUUCUUUUGUGGCAACCCCCUGCCAAACAUUAGAAUUCUCUUAUUCGAUGUAAGAGGGAGGGCAGUGACGAGCGACAGAUAUAUUUCUUCCACGAUCCUCCUAAGCCCCACCUGCCGCGGAGGAGGCGGCGAUUGCGACGGAAUGCGGCCGUGGCCGUCGACGACGUUGAUGUCGUCGUCGGGGAGGAGGAUCUAGAAGGUGAUGCUAGGGUUCAACGCCGACUGAUUCGCCCACCCCAAAGACGAAAACCUCUACCACUGGUCCUCCACCAUCAUCGGCCCUUGAGGUUUUCUAUUAUGGUUAUAUUCACAACUCAGAUUGCCACUUUGAUGUUGAUUCUGCUGGCAAACUAAAUCUGAACAUCUUGAAGCGCAGUUCGGGUUCUGGUCUAACAAUGUCAAAGGAUGAGUUUGAACUGUGCAAGGAGCACGGGGAACUGGAGGCCAUCUUUCAUGACGAAAAGCGAAGAAGGUUGCUAGACAAGGAUUAAUUCCACAUAGUGAAGCAGUUGAUGGCAGAGGAAAGGGAAGUUUCUAGAUCUAAGCUGUAAGGAAGAAGAGAAAAUAACUAUCUUCAAGUUUAUUCCACAGAUGAAGGAGAAACAAAGGGAAUGCAACUUCUGUAAGUUUUGAACUCUGGAAUUUAUAUAAGUUGAUACGGCGAAGAAGUUGCUGCUGGUGCUAGUGCUACUUAAACAGAAAGUAAAUGGAGAUGUGGGGUGAUGUUGGGGCGGAGCCACUUGGGAAAUAAUACUGUCGAAAGGACCAAAGGAUGAAGGGGGAAGGAAUAUGGAUGACUUGGACCUUUGAGAGCCAUAAGGAGUGGGGACCAAAAAACAAGAAUAUAGUAUGUAGGAAUGGAAAGAAUCGGCCUGUUCCUUUUAGGAGGGAAGGAAUCUUGCUGAUUGGAAGUUAUUGCAUCUGAUAUGGAUCUUUACUUCUUCCCCUUCGUAUUUCUCUAGUGGCACUGUUGUAUCAUUCUUUUCUGCAUAUGAUGUAGUGUUUCAUCUAUGAAAUAUUCAAUAUAUGAAUGAAAUCCAGAUUGCAAAAGCU